AAUAGAAGCAGAGAUUCAUGAUACAAAAUCUUUUUUCCUAAUUAUAUGUUAUCUCUUCUUUCUUGCUUGCUAGUGUCAGCUUCAUUUCCAUUCCUGCAUUUCUGGUUUUUCUCUUCUGGCAACUUUGGUAAAACUGAUAACACCUCUGUAACCUGUGUCUUGUUACUGUAAUCAAGGAUGAUUCAUUUAAUAUUGUAAUAUUGUUAUAACUGUCUAAUCAGACAGUGCAAAUUAGAUGCAUUAUAGCCCCUGAAAUGUUUCUCAUUAGCUGAAGAAGGGAAGCUUUGGGUGACAAAACUGCCCACAAUGUCUAGUACCAUUAUGUGCUAGCCUAUUCCCUCUAGAGGGCAGAACGUCCUAUUGGAAAGCUGCUAUUAAAAGGCUGAUGAAACUUAUAUAGCUAGUCCUCUAACAGAUGACACAUUUCAUUUGGUUUCCUUCUCAUCCAUGAAACAUGCAGCUGAAUAUCAAUGUGAC
ensembl:processed_transcript